AUCUAAAUAGCUUAUAAUAGAGCGUGAUAUUGAAGAUAUCAAAGAAAUAAAUUUUAUUUUUAGGUA
rnacentral:tRNA from 1 species